rnacentral:rRNA from 1 species
UGCAGUCGAACGGUGAAGCCCAGCUUGCUGGGUGGAUCAGUGGCGAACGGGUGAGUAACACGUGAGUAACCUGCCCCUGACUCUGGGAUAAGCCUUGGAAACGAGGUCUAAUACCGGAUACGUGACGCUCAGGCAUCUGAUGCGUCUGGAAAGAUUUAUCGGUCAGGGAUGGACUCGCGGCCUAUCAGCUUGUUGGUGGGGUAACGGCCCACCAAGGCGACGACGGGUAGCCGGCCUGAGAGGGCGACCGGCCACACUGGGACUGAGACACGGCCCAGACUCCUACGGGAGGCAGCAGUGGGGAAUAUUGCACAAUGGGCGCAAGCCUGAUGCAGCGACGCCGCGUGAGGGAUGAAGGCCUUCGGGUUGUAAACCUCUUUCAGCAGGGAAGAAGCGCAAGUGACGGUACCUGCAGAAGAAGCGCCGGCUAACUACGUGCCAGCAGCCGCGGUAAUACGUAGGGCGCAAGCGUUGUCCGGAAUUAUUGGGCGUAAAGAGCUCGUAGGCGGUUUGUCGCGUCUGCUGUGAAAACUCGAGGCUCAACCUCGGGCUUGCAGUGGGUACGGGCAGACUA